CUGACUCAAAUCAGGUAGGACUACCCGCUGAACUUAAGCAUAUCAAUAAGCGGAGGAAAAGAAACUAACAAGGAUUCCCCUAGUAACUGCGAGUGAAGCGGGAAGAGCUCAAAUUUGUAAUCUGGCGGUUCUGCCGUCCGAGUUGUAAUCUGGAGAAGCGUUUUCCGUGCCGGACCGUGUACAAGUCCCUUGGAACAGGGCGUCAUAGAGGGUGAGAAUCCCGUCUCUGACACGGACUGCCGGUGCUCUGCGAUGCGCUCUCGAAGAGUCGAGUUGUUUGGGAAUGCAGCUCAAAAUGGGUGGUAAAUUCCAUCUAAAGCUAAAUAUUGGCGAGAGACCGAUAGCGAACAAGUACCGUGAGGGAAAGAUGAAAAGCACUUUGGAAAGAGAGUAAAACAGUACGUGAAAUUGUUGAAAGGGAAACGCUUGAAGUCAGUCGCGUCUUCCGGAACUCAGCCUUGCUUCUGCUCGGUGCACUUUCCGGUGUGACGGGCCAGCAUCGGCUUCGCGGGGCGGACAAAGGGGAGGGGAAGGUGGCAGCUCCGGCUGUGUUAUAGCCCCUCUCUGCACGCGUCCCGCGGGGCCGAGGAAUCCGGCGCUUGCGCCUGGGAUGCUGGCGUAAUGGCUUUAAGCGACCCGUCUUGAAACACGGACCAAGGAGUGCUACAUGCUCGCGAGUGUUUGGGUGAAAAACCCGGGCGCGUAAUGAAAGUGAAAGUCGAUACCCUUUGCUGGGGCACCGACGCCCGAGCCCGAUGUUUUCGGAGGGCCUUGCGGUAGAGCGAGUAUGUUGCGACCCGAAAGAUGGUGAACUAUUCCUGAGGAGGGCGAAGCAGAAGGAAACUCUGGUGGAGGCUCGUAGCGGUUCUGACGUGCAAAUCGAUCGCAGGACUUGG
rnacentral:rRNA from 1 species